CGACGCAGCGACGCCGCGUGAGGGAGGAAGGCCUUCGGGUUGUAAACCUCUUUCAGGGAGGGACGAAGCUACUCGGGUGAAUAGCCCAGAGGGUGACCGGUACCUCCAGAAGAAGCCCCGGCUAACUACGUGCCAGCAGCCGCGGUAAUACGUAGGGGGCAAGCGUUGUCCGGAUUUACUGGGCGUAAAGAGCGUGUAGGCGGCCACGCAGGUCCGUUGUGAAAACUGGAGGCUCAACUUCCAGACGUCGACGGAAACCGUGUGGCUAGAGUCCGGAAGAGGAGAGUGGAAUUCCUGGUGUAGCGGUGAAAUGCGCAGAUAUCAGGAAGAACACCAAUGGCGAAGGCAGCUCUCUGGGACGGUACUGACGCUGAGACGCGAAAGCGUGGGAGCGGACAGGAUUAGAUACCCUGGUAGUCCACGCCGUAAACGAUGGGUGCUAGGUGUGGGGGGUGUCGAACUCCCUCCGUGCCGCAGCUAACGCAUUAAGCACCCCGCCUGGGGAGUACGGCCGCAAGGCUA
rnacentral:rRNA from 1 species